UUGAUUAGGGUAUUUAGCUGUUAACUAAAUUUUCGUGGGGUUGGAGCCCACCAAUCUAGUAAGGGCUUAGCUUAAUUAA
ensembl:miRNA